CGAUCCGAGGAGCGUUGCAGCGCACCCCUGACCACUGGUCAGCGCGGGGCGUGAGGCUCGGAACAUCCAUGCAACGACGCUCAUCCACU
rnacentral:ncRNA from 2 species